ensembl:lncRNA
AAAUGGAUUGUGAUAACAAAGCUACGCUAGGCAACGUGCUCCGCUCAUGUCUGUUCCCACUGGGCACAGACGUCACAUCAACGACUAUUCCACGUUGGUUCAACGUAAUAACAUUGAAAACGACUUGGAAACAACGUUGAUUCAACCAGAGUGCCCAGUGGGAUAUAUGGAAUGUCAUCCGUUUUGCUAAUUAAAACUUAAACAGCACUGCGGUUCAGCAGUGAUGUUAUGCGCUCAGGAAGCCUGCUGAUGGGCUUCUCCACACUCAUUGGUAGCUUUAGGCCCCCAGGGGAAGGCUGACAAACAGGGCUGCAGGGGCAGAGACAGUUUGCUGUCUUGGAGAGAUGAAAACUUCACUAACGUCUUAAGUCAGAGCCGUGGGAAAGAUACAGUCAUCUGGUGGCGAUGAACCGUAACGCACGGCGACGGGAAAGAAACUGCGCGACCAGAGAAACUCGACCUGCACUCAACAUUUUCCUUCCUUGGGAGAACAGAUACGUAUCUCUAUCGCUCUUUCUCGCCCCCUCCCUCCACCCUCUCUCGUAGACUUUCUAAGAUACAGCGUCUGAAUUCAGAUGCGGUGCACUUCCAAGGCGAGCAUCAGCAUCACUACAGAGACUCUGGCUCGGAUAAAAUCGGAAGAGCGCGUUUUUGUCCUCGGUUAUUUUCGAUUCAUCUAGUUGAUUAGACCCCCCCCACACACACACACACACUCCCCAUAUCACCCCAAUACAUCAGUCGUCGGAAUUAUAGCUGCCUCCCUACAGCUCUCCCCUUGGCUUCCCCUUUCUUCAAACCGAACAGAAUUUAUGUGUAUUUGCCGCAUGAGGACGUCCAAGCAUUGGAACUCAGUUGCUGGGGGUGCAGCGAUUCAGCCUGCCGCUUGUUCCGCGCCGGAGACAUGAAUCUACCAUAACGGAAUUCGCGUUCCCUGUCAAAAUCGGAUAAAUCAAAACUGUUUGUUUGCCGCCUCGUGGGGGUUAUAUUUCGUUUCUGCUGGUCAAUAACUGUCGUCAAGUGAAUAGCUGUUAUCGCCAUCGCUUCAAUUCCAAACUGGAGGAGUCGUGAUCAACGGGAAUGAAAUUGAGAAAAUCGUCCGCGGGUUGGAGGACGGGGCUGAGUUUAGGUCGGGAACUACGAGUCUAGAUAUUUCUAACUUUGUGCGCAAGACUUUCUCUUUCUAUAUGGACCGAUCAACAUCACUGGAUAUCGAGGCUCUGAAGGAGUAGGAAGGAUCGGACCAAUAUGCAGCGUGGUAAGUGUUUGUCAUUUUAUUAAACUGAACUGAACACUACAAUACAAAGUAAACAAAAAGUACAACCGAAACAGUUCCGUCUGGUAACUAAUACUAAGACAGAAAACAACUACCCACAAAUCAUAGUGGGAAAACAGGCUGCCUAAGUAUGUCUCUGAUUGAGAACCAACGAUAAACAGCUGGAACUAAGGUCAGGACGUGACAGUACCCCCCAAAGGUGCGGACUCCGGCUGCAAAACCUAAGCCCAUAGGGGAGGGUCUGGGUGAGCAUCUGUCCGCGGGAUGUGGACCCCACUCCACCAUAGUCUUGGCCCACUUAAGUGGUGACUUUGGAGCGGCGACCCUUGCCGCCGACCACGGACUGGAGGCCCUUACAGCGGGCCCCAAAUAGGCGGGAGAC